GUGUCAGCAGCCGCGGUAAUACGGAGGGUGCAAGCGUUGUUCGGAAUUAUUGGGCGUAAAGAACGUGUAGGCGGGUUUGUGAGUCAGAUGUGAAAGCCCUCGGCUCAACCGAGGAAGUGCAUCUGAAACUGCAAAUCUUGAGUACGAGAGAGGAGAGUGGAAUUCCCAGUGUAGAGGUGAAAUUCAUAGAUAUUGGGAAGAACACCGGCGGCGAAAGCGGCUCUCUGGCUCGAUACUGACGCUGAGACGUGAAAGCGUGGGGAGCAAACAGGAUUAGAAACCCCAGUAGUCC
rnacentral:rRNA from 1 species